UGGGGAGGGCCCCGGCGUACUGGGGCGGUUCAGUCGCCUCAGCCGCGGUGUGAGGGAGCGGGAGUCUUCCUUAGCUUCUCCGCCAUGGGUGUCGCUUCGUAGCCGGGCUGCUCCGGGAAAGGCCUCGUACAGGAAAACUAGACAAUCCACCAGCCCAGGAGGGGACAAGCAGGCUUAUUCCUCCUCCUCGUCAUCUCUGGCUCCAGCCCCACCCUGGCCCUUGCUGGCAUUCUUCCUCUUCACGUGGCUGGGGUUGGCCACCCCAAUAGGGAAGCAGAGGGAGAAGUCAAUGUGCUUCUGGGAAUCCAGGCGGACAGUGAAGAACAGGAUAUUUACCACCUGCUCACGGACACGGAUAUGACACUGUUGAAUCAGCACAUGAGCGUGGCGGAUGGACUUAGCCAAGCCAAGCUUGAAGACCUGGGUCUGUAGGAAUCUCUAAGAAAUCAUUGAUCUUCAGGCCCAGGAUGUAAUCCAGCUUCAUCUUGCCCUCAUCCAGCACCCCAGUGCGGACCAGCCACUGCAGCAGGGCAAUGCCUUCGAACAGACGCCGUGGGUCCUUCUCAUCAAGCGUCAGCAGCUCCCGGGCGGCCUUAUGGAUCUUGACCAGGGUAAAUUUGACCCUCCAGACCUCACAUUUGUUCUGGAGCCCAUACUCACCAAUCAGCUUUAGCUUUUGGUCGAGAUGAGGUUUCUCGAAGGGUCUCUGCAGGGUCACAUAAGUUUGGCAACAAACCCAGCUCUGGGCCGCUGGCAUGUUGGCUCCACUUGCCCGUCUAUGCCUAAGCACAGGCCCUGGUCACUGAGAAAGAGCUCAAAUUUUUUAUAUAUUUCAUCUAAGGUGUUGAUUCUAUUGAUACCCUUAUCCUUUUAACAUGCCCUUAUCCUUUUAAUGUUGGUAAUGAUGCUACCUGUCAUUUCUGAGACUGGUUUGUGUCUUUCGUGUUUUUUUCUGAUCUGUCUGGCUAGAGGUUUACCAAUUGAUUUGAUUUUCCUCAAACUUCUGGUUACAAUGAUUCUCUCUCUCUCUCUUUUCCUGAUUAUAUUAAUUUCUGUUCUGAUCUUUGUUUCCUUUCUUCUGCUUACUGGAUUUUAUUUGCUCUUUUUCUGGUUUCUUACUGUAAAGGCAGAAGUCAUUGAUUUGCAUUGAUUUGAGACUUCUUUUCUAAUGUAGGCAGUAAGUGGUGUAAAUUCCCUUUUAGUAUGACUUUAGUGGCAUCUCACAUUGAUAUGUUUUCAAUUUCAUUCAGUUUAUUUUUAUUUAUUUUUUAAAUUAUUUAUUUAUUUAUUUAUUUUGAGUUGUGUAGCCCUUUAUUAGCAACUAAAAUAGAAGGUAUCUGUUGUACAACAUGGGUAGUAAUUGACUAUAACUGGAGAUUUAUUAUAUUCUAAUACAGAUCAUUUAUAAAUGCAAUUUCUUUAUUAAAAAGCUUCCACCUU
ensembl:lncRNA CBR3-AS1 CBR3 antisense RNA 1